CCUGCCAGAAGUUUGAGAGGGCGAAGACUGUGGAGCCGGAGUUGAAGCGCAUCAAAGUUGUUUCAUCAUGGCACAUGAUCGGUGAGUGUCCCAAUUCAAAUUUCGGCCCGAUAAGUUGUUUUGUAAUGGUUGCUUUAUUUGACCACAACAGUAUUAUAGAAUGUGUGUGUGUGUGUGUGUGUGUCAGUAGCCUUACAAAUAUGAACAUAUGCAUACUGUAUGACACAGGUACGGAUAAGAAUAGAGUAAUCUUCUCUCUAACACUUUAAAUGUUAGAGGUGACCCUCAUUGGACCUUUCACGAAAUCCAGGAAUGGCAACAGCUGCUGUCGAACGGCGACCCAUCACUUUACCAAGACGACUGGCGAGGACACCUCCAAGACAAUGACGGACAUCUUCAACACCCUCAGUCAUGUUGAGUGACCGACGUCAUGAACACUAGAACAAGUGAUGGAUGUUAUAGGUUAUUUUCUGUCACCAAUGGUUUGUUUUAUUUAUUCUUUACUAUUUGUUUUUCCGUGGUACAUAAACAGACCUAUUUCAAUAUCUUUCAUUGUCAAUAGAUAUUCCUUUCCUACCCCCUCCUCCAGGUUUGGUGAAUGGACCAACCAGACCCUCAUGUCAUGGGCAAGUCCCUUGAUUGGUACCAGGAAGGUUGGGAGAACUACUGGAAGGUAAUUCUCUUUGCACACAACAGCAGCAUCCAGGCCUCCACCGAGUACGGACAGGAGUCGCAGCUGUUGACUGAGGUAAAACAAUGCAAUUGUGUAUACAAUUAUUGCAUAUACUGAGGUUGUUUGUCUAUUGAUAUUUUUCUAUAAGGUACUUUCAGAUCACUGAAAGCCCACCUGAUGUGGUGGAAGCUGUCGAACCAGCUCAGAACCCUUGAGGACUACAGUACCUGCAGGCACGGACUGAGGAGGAUGUAGAGGUUUUUCACCAGGUAAAAAUCAUUGUCCGCUGUCAAUUUAUUUUCUGUCCCUCCAAGAGAUAUGUAAGAAAUAGAAUAGCAUUUAUUCCUGUUAUCAGUCAAUGUGAGACUGAACAUGGACAAGGAGAAACAGAAGGAGAGCUACUGGAGCAGAAUGAAGAAGGGGACCAAGUGCUGCGACUUCAGGGCCAAUGACUAGGUUUGGAAGAUGGAGGAAAGAAAGACGACACCUGGGAAACCUCACUGCUCUUUCGCUCCUAGCUGGGGUCACCAUCAGUUAAAGUGAAUAUAGAAAAUAUCAGAUGAUAACUAUUUGUAUUUGCACACAAAAUAACCUGAAGCUAGUUUUAGUUCCCCUAACACUGAUAUUUUUCUCUUUGUCUUCCUAGGGUUCCCUCGGUGGAAGCCAACAAUCUUCUACAGUUGAAGCACUUGGACGGUCGACCACUGAAAGCACUGACGCCCUACACUUCAGUGAAGCCCAAUAGACAAACUAUGCUCAGCUUUGGUUGACAGAAACAAUAAGAAAAGCAAGAAAUAGUAGUUAUGCUAAGCCUAUAAAAAUGUACUUCUCCAAUAUCCUACUCUAUCAUACUCUAUUCUACUCUAUCAUACUCUAUUCUACUCUAUCAUACUCUAUCAUACUCUAUAAUUCUCUAUCAUAGUCUAUCCUACUCUAUUCUACUCUAUCAUACUCUAUAAUUAUCUAUCAUAGUCUAUCAUACUCUAUCAUUUUCUAUCAUAAUCUAUCAUACUGGGCACAUAAUAUGUGAGAUACACAGAUGGACUAAAAACACUCGCACUGCAAACACUCAGAACAAAGAGAGCAUCAGUGCCUGAACUUUGCAGUCUCCCUCUUCAAGUCUCCCUUCUGAGACUGACUGCCUGUUGAGAAUAGGUGACAGGCAGAACCACCCACCCACACAGCAACCCCCUCCUCUAUAUUGCACACACCAGAAUUCAGUAUUUUAGUCUAUGAUUGCCAUGUUAGUGUAAAACAAAUGAAUGACACAACUGUACCAAAAACGAUCUAAGUUUAUGUAUUAAAAUCUGAAAUAUUGCUAGGUUGGUUUUCACAGCUGUUUCACACGGUGUUCAUUGUUGUAAGGUAUCCUUCGAUGGUAUUUAUUUGUUCCACAUGAUUCAUUGUUGUAAGGUAUCCUUCGAUGGUAUUUAUUUGUUCCACAUGAUUCAUUGUUGUAAGGUAUCCUUCGAUGGUAUUUAUUUGUUCCACAUUAUUCAUCGUUGUAAGGUAUCCUUCGAUGGUAUUUAUUUGUUCCACAUGAUUCAUUGUUGUAAGGUAUCCUUCGAUGGUAUUUAUUUGUUCCACAUUAUUCAUCGUUGUAAGGUAUCCUUCGAUGGUAUUUAUUUGUUCCACAUUAUUCAUUGUUGUAUCCUAUGACCGACAAUAAACACAUAUAUAUUCAACCACAAGGGUGUACCAAUGAGCUAUGUGAGAUAGAACAACAUUAAUCCUAAAGGAGGUCUAGUGAAAAUAUAUUAUUUCAGCGUAGAUAAGGGGAGGGACCGACAAGCCAGUGUAUGAAUCCAACAGAUUUGCAUAUGAAUGGAGUGGAAAUUAUCUGACUUCCUGGUCUGUAAGGUAAGUAACUUUAAUGUGUCAAGCAGAUUACACGUUUUAUUUGACAUUUCCGAAACGUAAUAAUGUUUAAGACAUGGAUUUCAUGUUGUAAUGUUAACAAGGUACCCAAAAGUAGUUUGAAUGAAUGUUUUCAUUUUGUCAGCUAAAUAAAACUUGUUUAAACAGCGAAAUUGCUGCGGAAAUCCGCCUUGUUUGCAUAGCGAUGAUGAAAAGAACGUCAUUUUAGGCUGUAAUUAGGUAAUCCCACCGUUGAUAUAGCAACGGAACGCUAAUAAUUUAUCGAACUCCAUUGUGACGCAGAAGGGGACACUAUUUGGCCAAGGGACAUUAUUUGCCAUGACAGGCCCACAAAAAGCUAGGCUGGCCCUUGGUAGUAGGUCUAUAUUAUCUGCUGUAGGUAGUCCACUGGCUGGGUUAGCUAGAACAGGUGUUGAGUACGGGUUACGGGUUAGAGGUCAGGGAUAGGUCAGUUCUGUGGUUGCCAUGGCGCAGAGAGCUCUGUAAAUAUUGUACAUAUUUGAAGUUUUAGUUGUUUUCUUUUUUGAUCAACUUUUUAUUUUGUUAGCUAAGUAAGUUUUGAUUGUAUAUAUUGUAGCAAUCCUGGGUUUAUAAGUGCGGAUAUCGACUGCAAGAAGAGCAUGUUGUUGCGUUCUGGGCUUCGGGCCAGAAGGUUGAGGGUUCGAGCCGCACUUCCUGCCUGAUUCAUUACAAUAUAUUGAUCCGCGGCAGUGCAAGAUCGGCAAGUCAGUUAUUUUACCAACUGAACCGAGAAGCUAUUUAGCUACCAACUUUAUUUGAAACAACAAGAGAUGGCAGAGGCUUGGAGAAUGUCCCAGUAGUUUAGGUUUUCCCCAGUAGUUUAUUUCAAGGUGGACUAUCACUUCUGACUGUAGUGAGCUUCAUGCCAUAAAGCUUAGCAGCUGCAUUACUUCACCCAGGUUGGUGCUACAUGUUUCUCAGAGGAGUUUCCAAGGGAAGAGGUGCCCUGACUUCUAACUUGUUUCCCCCCUGGAUCUAAGCAUCGUUUCACCCCUGCUCAACCCACAUCUCGGCCCGCCCUUCAUCUGGGCUUCAACCCUUCAUCUGGGCCCCAGUUUUCAUCUGGGCUUCAACCCUUCAUCUGGGCCCCAGUCUUCAUCUGGGCUUCAACCCUUCAUCUGGGCCCCAGUCUUCAUCUGGGCUUCAACCCUUCAUAUGGGCCCUAGUCUUCAUCUGGGCUUCAACCCUUCAUCUGGGCCCUAGUCUUCAUCUGGGAUUCAAACCUUCAUCUGGGCCCCAGUCUUCAUCUGGGCUUCAACCCUUCAUCUGGGCUUCAACCCUUCAUCUGGGCCCCAGUCUUCAUCUGGGCUUCAACCCUUCAUCUGGGCCCCAGUCUUCAUCUGGGCCCCAGUCUUCAUCUGGGCUUCAACCCUUCAUCUGGGCCUCAACCCUUGGGCUCCCGAAUGGCGCAGUGGUCUAAAGCACUGCAUCUCAGUGCUUGAGGCGUCACUACAGACACCCUGGUUCGAUUCCAGAGUCCCAUACAGCGGUGCACAAUUGGCCAAGUGUCAUAUGGGUUUGGCCGAUGUAGGCUGUCCUUGUAAAUAAGAAUUUGUUCUUAACUGACUAUCCUAGUUAAAUAAAGGUUACAUUUUUAAAAUCAUCUGGACCUCAACCCUUCAUUUGGGCCUUGGUCGGUAGAGACGUGGACGGGUCAGGUAAGUGGACAUGGAGAGUGGAUUGGACACAGGAUGUGACCUGUUGAACUGGCACCUGCCUCUGUGGAUGACUGUGAAAGACUGUGGAUGACUGUGAAAGACUGUGGAUGACUGUGAAAGACUGUGGAUGACUGUGAAUGACUGUGGAUGUGGAUGACUGUGAAAGACUGUGGAUGACUGUGAAAGACUGUGGAUGACUGUGAAAGACUGUGGAUGACUGUGAAAGACUGUAGAUGACUGUGAAAGACUGUGGAUGACUGUGGAUGUGGAUGACUGUGAAAGACUGUGGAUGACUGUGGAUGUGGAUGACUGUGAAAGACCUUCCAGCUAGAACUGUCAAUAGGCUAACUGAAAGAUUAGACUGUUUUAAGAUUGAGAUUCUUGCUGUAAUGAAAAGCGCUAUACUAAUUAAUUAUCAUUAUUAUUAUCAUUAAAUUACCGGACGUAGUUGUGUUAGCUGGAACAGGCGGUGUGUAUGGGUUAGGGGUUAGAGGUCAGGGUUAGGUAAUAUUACCGAGUGUAGGAAGUCCAGUAGCUGUGUAAGCUGGAACAGGCGUUGUGUAUGGGUUAGGGGUUAGAGGUCAGGGUUAGGUAAUAUUACCGGGUGUAGGAAGUCCAGUAGCUGUGUUAGCUGGAACAGGCGUUGUGUAUGGGUUAGGGGUUAGAGGUCAGGGUUAGGUAAUAUUACCGGGUGUAGGAAGUCCAGUAGCUGUGUUAGCUGGAACAGGCGUUGUGUAUGGGUUAGGGGUUAGAGGUCAGGGUUAGGUAAUAUUACCGGGUGUAGGAAGUCCAGUAGCUGUGUUAGCUGGAACAGGCGUUGUGUAUGGGUUAGGGGUUAGAGGUCAGGGUUAGGUAAUA